GUCUCCGUGGCGCAAUCGGUUAGCGCGUUCGGCUGUUAACCGAAAGGUUGGUGGUUCAAAUCCACCCGGGGACG